rnacentral:rRNA from 1 species
CGUUGUUCGGAAUUACUGGGCGUAAAGGGCUUGUAGGCGGCCAACUAAGUCAGACGUGAAAUCCCUCGGCUUAACCGGGGAACUGCGUCUGAUACUGGAUGGCUAGAGGUUGGGAGAGGGAUGCGGAAUUCCAGGUGUAGCGGUGAAAUGCGUAGAUAUCUGGAGGAACACCGGUGGCGAAGGCGGCAUCCUGGACCAAUUCUGACGCUGAGGAGCGAAAGCCAGGGGAGCAAACGGG